AUUGAACGCUGGCGGCAGGCCUAACACAUGCAAGUCGAACGGUAACAGGAAGAAGCUUGCUUCUUUGCUGACGAGUGGCGGACGGGUGAGUAAUGUCUGGGAAACUGCCUGAUGGAGGGGGAUAACUACUGGAAACGGUGGCUAAUACCGCAUAACGUCGCAAGACCAAAGAGGGGGACCUUCGGGCCUCUUGCCAUCGGCUGUGCCCAGAUGGGAUUAGCUAGUAGGUGGGGUAACGGCUCACCUAGGCGACGAUCCGUAGCUGGUCUGAGAGGAUGACCAGCCACACUGGAACUGAGACACGGUCCAGACUCCUACGGGAGGCAGCAGUGGGGAAUAUUGCACAAUGGGCGCAAGCCUGAUGGAGCAAUGCCGCGUGAAUGAAGAAGGCCUUCGGAUUGUAAAGUACUUUCAGCGGGGAGGAAGGGAGUAGAGUUAAUACCUUCGCUCAUUGACGUUACCCGAAGAAAAAGCACCGGCUAACUCCGUG
rnacentral:rRNA from 1 species